UCUAGUUUGGUAUAAUAAUUUUGAUCAUUAAGCUGUCUGUGUCCCUCCCACAGAUAAUCCUUCCUGUCCAUGAGGACCACUGCGCUCCCUUUAUCUGCAGGAGGGAGCUGUGCAGCAGAGGGAACCCAGGUGGACCUGGGAAUGAAGGGAAGGUGUACAGAAUCUGGGUUAUGGUGUUUAAAAACUGGAC